ACGGUCAUGAGGUAAUGGGAGGUUUGCAAAUGUGCUGUGACACGCCGGGUGUGAUUACUGUGCCGCCAUGAAGUGCCUGACAACUACGCUUCCUCCUCCACCCUGCCCUCCACACACAAGUCAAACGACUGCUGUCACUAAAUGGCAUUUAGAUUCAUAUAGAUCCAGCUUGGCAUAUUUCCCAGCUUUGCAACACCUGACCUUUUUACCAGAGGUUGAAGCAACAACCUGCAGAGACGGCUUUGUUUUUCCACAAACGGCAUCUAAUAAAAGGAUUACUCUCU